GAUGAACGCUGGCGGCGUGCCUAAUACAUGCAAGUCGAGCGAACAGACGAGGAGCUUGCUCCUCUGACGUUAGCGGCGGACGGGUGGGUAACACGUGGAUCACCUACCUAUAAGACUGGGAUAACUUCGGGAAACCGGAGCUAAUACCGGAUAAUAUAUUGUACCGCAUGGUUCAAUAGUGAAAGACGGCUUUGCCGUCACUUAUAGAUGGAUCCGUGCCGCAUUAGCUAGUUGGUAAGGUAACGGCUUACCAAGGCAACGAUGCGUAGCCGAGCUGAGAGGGUGAUCAGCCACACUGGAACUGAGACACGGUCCAGACUCCUACGGGAGGCAGCAGUAGGGAAUCUUCCGCAAUGGGCGAAAGCCUGACGGAGCAACGCCGCGUGAGUGAUGAAGGUCUUCGGAUCGUAAAACUCUGUUAUUAGGGAAGAACAACUGUGUAAGUAACUAUGCACGUCUUGACGGUACCUAAUCAGAAAGCCACGGCUAACUACGUG
rnacentral:rRNA from 1 species